rnacentral:lncRNA from 1 species
GGGAAUAACAGCUACUAACAGAUAAAACAACUACUAACAAAGAAUGGUUAAAACAGAAAUAACAACCAAUAGUAAGAUAGUUAAUGACUGUAUGAUUGCACUGUUUAUAAUUGCAUCAUUCCAUCCUCCCGAGAUUGUACUCGACCACGAGUACAUUAGUCAGCAAGCUGGAAGUCGUCUGGGGCAUGAUAGGGCUUCAAGUCUGCGAUAUUGAACACCUCUCUUUGGCGGCAUAAUUCCUAUUAUCCACCAAUAACUAUCUUUUAAAAAUCUAAACAAAAGAGUACUUCAUACCGUCCAGUUUAACUUAGGCAAAAGUCAUGCAAAUAAACCAUACAUAUAAGCAUAAAACAUACCUGACGAGAGACGAAGGGUCGCGUUAGCCAUAGGGACACAAAACACAGACUUACAUCGUAAGUCAGUCUACAGAACCUAAAACUUAGGCUCUUAUACCAACUGUAACGAUCCAACUUUUCUACCUAAGUCGAGGUCAUUAAUUUUUGACAAAAGACCUUGGUUGAUACAAAAUGAAAUGUAAGCCAAUUGAAAAACACACAAUCGAGGAAAAACAACUUUAAGUUUGACCUGAUUUCAAAUAUUCAAAAACUUAAAAAGUACUACUUACAAAUAAAAGUUUGUAAGCUAAGUUUCAAUACGACGUCUUAAACCUCAAAAAAACAAUAAGCGGAAGCAAAAUAACACAUUUCCUAUGGCAAUCACGUUUCCUUCCUUCCCCUCGCCGGUUUGCCGCCUUUGUUACUUUUGC